UGGGGAAUAUUGGACAAUGGGCGAAAGCCUGAUCCAGCCAUGCCGCGUGUGUGAAGAAGGUCUUCGGAUUGUAAAGCACUUUAAGUUGGGAGGAAGGGCAGUAAGCUAAUACCUUGCUGUUUUGACGUUACCGACAGAAUAAGCACCGGCUAACUCUGUGCCAGCAGCCGCGGUAAUACAGAGGGUGCAAGCGUUAAUCGGAAUUACUGGGCGUAAAGCGCGCGUAGGUGGUUUGUUAAGUUGGAUGUGAAAUCCCCGGGCUCAACCUGGGAACUGCAUUCAAAACUGACUGACUAGAGUAUGGUAGAGGGUGGUGGAAUUUCCUGUGUAGCGGUGAAAUGCGUAGAUAUAGGAAGGAACACCAGUGGCGAAGGCGACCACCUGGACUGAUACUGACACUGAGGUGCGAAAGCGUGGGGAGCAAACAGGAUUAGAUACCCCUGUAGUCCCUGAGCGGGCUGGCAAGGCGCAU
rnacentral:rRNA from 1 species